UUGCUCGCUUCGGCAGCACAUACACUAAAGUUGGAAUGAUACAGAGAAGAUUAGCAUGGUCCCUGCACAAAGGAUGACAUGCAACUUUGUGAAGCGUUCCAUAUCUUU
ensembl:snRNA U6 U6 spliceosomal RNA